rnacentral:ncRNA from 1 species
UCUGAUAGAGGUGCGGCAUUCAAAAGAGUAUCACCGGCCGAGGCAGCCAUUGCCGUCGGCAGGUCGGUGGGAAAGGUUGUGCCGCCGAAGGGCUUGUCCGUAUAAUGGCAGGGCAUGCGCCUGGGUGUGCGGUCAACAGUCGUACAACUGUCAUCAUGCGUGAUGGAGUGCUACUCA